rnacentral:rRNA from 1 species
AGGAUGAACGCUGGCGGUCUGCUUAACACAUGCAAGUCGAACGGAGUACCUCGGUACUUAGUGGCGGACGGGUGAGUAACGCGUGAGAAUCUGCCCUUAGGUCGGGGACAACCAUUGGAAACGAUGGCUAAAUACCGGAUAAGCCGAGAGGUAAAAGAUUAAUUGCCUAGGGAAGAGCUCGCGUCUGAUUAGCUAGUUGGUGAGGUAAAGGCUCACCAAGGCAUCGAUCAGUAGCUGGUCUGAGAGGAUGAUCAGCCACACUGGGACUGAGACACGGCCCAGACUCCUACGGGAGGCAGCAGUGGGGAAUUUUCCGCAAUGGGCGAAAGCCUGACGGAGCAAGACCGCGUGAGGGAGGAAGGCUCUUGGGUUGUAAACCUCUUUCUUGGGGAAGAACAAAUGACGGUACCCAAGGAAUCAGCAUCGGCUAACUCCGUGCCAGCAGCCGC